GCGGAUGUGGCGGAAUGGCAGACGCGCUAGCUUCAGGUGCUAGUGUUUGCAAGAAAGUGGGGGUUCAAGUCCCCCCAUCCGCACCA
rnacentral:tRNA from 1 species